CUGCUCCUUGCUUUUUUCUGCAACAGGUGCCAGUUCACUGCUCUGUAGUUUCUGUGGAACUGGCGUCCGUUGCAGGGAUGUGCGGGGAGCGUCC
rnacentral:pre_miRNA from 1 species